rnacentral:rRNA from 1 species
ACGGGAGGCAGCAGUGAGGAAUAUUGGUCAAUGGGCGGAAGCCUGAACCAGCCAAGUCGCGUGAAGGAUGAAGGUAUUAUGUAUUGCAAACUUCUUUAGCUGUGGAGCAAUAAUCUCCAUGUAUGGAGAGAUGAGAGUACACAGAGAAUAAGGAUCGGCUGACUCCGUGCCAGCAGCCGCGGUAAUACGGAGGAUCCGAGCGUUAUCCGGAUUUAUUGGGUUUAAAGGGUGCGCAGGCGGCUUUCUAAGUCAGUGGUCAAAUCGUGGUGCUCAACGCCAUCCCGCCAUUGAUACUGGAGAGCUUGAUUGCGGUCGAGGUUUGCGGAAUUCGUCGUGUAGCGGCGAAAUGCAUAGAUAUGACGAAGAACACCGAUUGCGUAGGCAGCAGACCAGGCCGUAAAUGACGCUCAUGCACGAAAGUGCGGGGAUCGAACAGGAUUAGAUACCCUGGUA